CGCGAAUGGCUCAUUAAAACAGCUAUAAUUCACUUGAUCUUGACACAAUCCUACUUGGAUAACUGUGGUAAUUCUAGAGCUAAUACAUGCAUUAAAGCUCUGACCUCACGGAAAGAGUGCAUUUAUUAGAACAAAACCAAGCGGCUUCGGCUGUUUUCGGUUGACUCAUAGUAACUGAGCUGAUCGCAUGGUCUUGCACCGGCGACGUGUCUUUCAAGUAUCUGCCGUAUCAACUUUCGAUGGUAGUGUAUCUGACUACCAUGGUGAUCACGCGUAACGGAGAAUAAGGGUUCGACUCCGGAGAGUUCGCCUGAGAAAUCGCGAACACAUCUAAGGAAGGCAGCAGGCGCGAAAAUUACCCACUCUCAGCACGAGGAGGUAGUGACGAAAAAUAACGAGACCGUUCUCUUUCGAGGCCGGUCAUCGGAAUGGGUACAAUUUAAACCCUUUAACGAGUAUCUAUGAGAGGGCAAGUCUGGUGCCAGCAGCCGCGGUAAUUCCAGCU
rnacentral:rRNA from 1 species